rnacentral:rRNA from 1 species
AUUGAACGCUGGCGGAAUGCUUUACACAUGCAAGUCGAACGGCAGCACGGACUUCGGUCUGGUGGCGAGUGGCGAACGGGUGAGUAAUGUAUCGGAACGUGCCCAGUCGUGGGGGAUAACGUAGAGAAAAUUACGCUAAUACCGCAUACGAUCUAUGGAUGAAAGCGGGGGAUCGCAAGACCUCGCGCGAUUGGAGCGGCCGAUAUCAGAUUAGGUAGUUGGUGGGGUAAAGGCCCACCAAGCCAACGAUCUGUAGCUGGUUUGAGAGGAUGAUCAGUCACACUGGAACUGAGACACGGUCCAGACUCCUACGGGAGGCAGCAGUGGGGAAUUUUGGACAAUGGGCGAAAGCCUGAUCCAGCCAUUCCGCGUGCAGGAUGAAGGCCCUCGGGUUGUAAACUGCUUUUGUACAGAACGAAAAGGUUUCUACUAAUACUAGGAGCUCAUGACGGUACUGUAAGAAUAAGCACCGGCUAACUACGUGCCAGCCGCCGCCGUAA